rnacentral:rRNA from 1 species
GUUGAGAGGGGCUGCUCCUAGUACGAGAGGACCGGAGUGGACGAACCUCUGGUGUUCCGGUUGUCACGCCAGUGGCAUUGCCGGGUAGCUAUGUUCGGAAAAGAUAACCGCUGAAAGCAUUGAGAGGGGCUGCUCCUAGUACGAGAGGACCGGAGUGGACGAACCUCUGGUGUUCCGGUUGUCACGCCAGUGGCAUUGCCGGGUAGCUAUGUUCGGAAAAGAUAACCGCUGAAAGCAUCUAAGCGGGAAACUUGCCUCAAGAUGAGAUCUCACUGGGAACUUGAUUCCCCUGAAGGGCCGUCGAAGACUACGACGUUGAUAGGCUGGGUGUGUAAGCGUUGUGAGGCGUUGAGCUAACCAGUACUAAUUGCCCGUGAGGCUUGACCAUAUAACACCCAAACA